ACGGUUACCUUGUUACGACUUAGCCCCAGUCAUCGGUUUUGCCCUAGGGCGCUGCUCGCGCUCACGCACUUCAGGCACUCCCGACUCCCAUGGCUUGACGGGCGGUGUGUACAAGGCCCGGGAACGUAUUCACCGCGCCGUGGCUGAUGCGCGAUUACUAGCGAAUCCAGCUUCAUGGAGUCGGGUUGCAGACUCCAAUCCGAACUGAGACAGGCUUUCGGGUUCCGCUCCCUGUCGCCAGGUGGCUUCCCGCUGUACCUGCCAUUGUAACACGUGUGUCGCCCCGGACGUAAGGGCCGUGCUGAUUUGACGUCAUCCCCGCCUUCCUCGCAGCUUGCGCCGGCAGUCCCGCCAGAGUCCCCAGCUUUGCCUGUUGGCAACUGGCGGUAGGGGUUGCGCUCGUUAUGGCACUUAAGCCGACACCUCACGGCACGAGCUGACGACAACCAUGCAGCACCUCGUCGCAGGUCCGUAGACGGGCAUCCUUUCAGACACCCUUCCUGCAACGUUUG
rnacentral:rRNA from 1 species